rnacentral:lncRNA from 1 species
CAACGCUGGAUCCUUAACCCACUGAGCGAGGCCAGAGAUUGAACCCACACCCUCAUGGAUACAGUGCCACGGGAACUCCCCUCCUCUUUUUUUUUUUAGUUAAAAUUUUUUUUGUUCCACACCCAUGAUAUGCAGAAGUUCCCAGGCCAGGGACUGAACCUGAGCCACAGCAAGGACCUGGACACAGCAGUGACAGUCCUCAGUCUGCUGAGCCACCAGGGAACUCCUUUCAAUGUGGCUGCCCUGGGAAGGAACAAGAUCUUGGGAGACGUGUCGUUCAUCAUCGGAGGCAAUUUCCAAAGAGGGCUCAGGGCUGAGGGCUCUCCCAGUGGCUGGGAGAACGAGUCCUCCAGGCAUGAGGGGGCUUGGGCGAUGGAUGCAUCAGAGCACCCACGACAAGGGGUGGGGUAAUAAGCUGGUAUGUGUCUAGAAGGAAGGUACCAGGUUGGGGAAAGAUGAAGAGCAAAGCAGAUGGAACAUUCAGGAGUGGGGGUGGGCAUCAAUUUCUAAUAAUCAAGGGUUGACUGUAGUUUAUAGAUUGACUUGUUAAAUGGACAGAGUGCUCUGAGGCCCCUGGAGAUGCUUCUUUCUAAUGCAUGCUAGAAGGCAUCUUCCAGCCCGGCCUGAGCACUCCUAUAUGGAUUGAGUUCAAUUAUUAAUUGGGAGGGAUGGGGGCUGGUGGCUAAUGCGACCUAAUAGCACAGGCUGGGUAAUUGUGCUCUCGGUAAUGUGUGUUCAGAGCUCGGGUUCGGAUGGUAUCGACACAGCCUGCUCCUUGCUUUGUCUGCACACCUCUGUGCUGUAAUGCAUUGAGGUCCCAGCGAAAUGCACCAAACCGCUUGUGUGACUUAAUGCAUCUGCGUAACAUUAAUGCUUCCUGUUAAUGUGUCACACGGAUGAUAAAGAUGUGCCUGGAAAGGAGCUGGUGGGAAGGCGGUUUUUAAAAGGAAACUUGCAGGCUUUGUGGCACUAUCACCAUUCCCCUAGGGGUUUUUGUGGCCAAUUUAGAACUACUUGGCAUGAAGUUCUUACACGUGCAUCUUCCUUCAGAGAGGCAGCUUGGCUUUUGGUCCAGAAAUGACAGGAGUGUUUACAUUUUUCAUCUGAAAACAGAUCUCAGGGGAACUAAUUGUUUGGGCAGCUUUGCACUGGGAUCUGAAGAAAAAAAAAAAAACAAACCCUCUAGGCUAUGUGAUUAAUGCUAAUUCUUAUGACUCCCUUUGUCUCAAACCUGCUAGCGGGAAAUUUGCAUUUGCUAAAAAGUCUAGCUUGUGGCACCAGAAACCGAUUUGGUCCAAAGCAGAUUGAAAAUAUUGAGAGAACAAAUAUUAUUUUCCAAACUUCUGUCAUUCUGUCGUAUUGAAUCACUGUUGCAUCGGAAAUCUAGAUUUUUAUAUUUUGAAUCUCCAGUCUUAACAUUUGAAUACUUGAGUUUAGAAUAAAAUUCAAACUUCUUUUGGCUUAAGGAAUAAAUUAUAGAACCUUAUGAUCUCUGUUGUUAAUGAACUAUCCAUUUAAGAAGUAAAAUUGGAUUAGCCAUGUUUAAGACAAGCCAGUCAAAGACAUUUAGAUUUUUCCAGAAUUAAUGGGGCCAUGCUAUUACCUGAAGCCUACAGGUCUCUGAACAAAAGGAAUGGCAAGAUACAGAAGUUGGUUAUCUCAAAGCUUUGGCUCUUCCAUUUCCACACUGGACACAUUGUCUCUAGGUAUUUGUGUCCCUUUGCAAUUUCUUUGCUUUUUAACUUACCUUUCAUUCUUACUUUUUUAAUUAAAAAUGCUAGGAGUUUCCACUGCAGCCCAGUGAGUUAAGAAGUUGAUUGCAGUGGCUUGGGUUGCCUCAGAGGCUCAGGUUCGAUGCCUGGCCCGGUGGAAGGAUUGGACAUUGGUACAGCUGUGGUUCAGAUUUAAUCUCUGACCUGGGAACUUCCUUAUUCUGAGGGUGUGGCCAAAAACAUUCUAGCCGCCAGUCAAAAAUAGCUAAGUGUGACCCUAUUUCAGAUCUGACUCUUCUAGAAAAGUGGCCUUUUGGGAAAAGCUGCAUUGGAACAGAAGAAUCAAUUUCUUUCCGGCACUAGAAACAUCGAGGCUGUCAUCUGAUUCUUGUAGAAAAAUGAGCAAGUCUCCCCAAAUGGAUUCCCUCCUCUCAAGGAUGACAAAAUCUGAAGGGCCAUGGACAAAUGAGGUCACUAACAUCUCAGGGUCUUCUGGUGAAGCAAAGAGUAUUUCUUUGGAGUGAAUUAAGUGGACACACGGAGCUCUAGGGAUAGACUAGAUUUUGCAAAUAAAAUUAUUUGCACCUACCUAAGACGCUACUGGUCCACUCUCAGAAGGAUAUUCGUGGGGACGUGCCUCUCUUUGAGUUACCUGCCCGCCUGCUGAAUUCCCUUGUGACUAAGGCCACAUACGUGGAAGAGGGUUUUAGGCAGAGACCGUGGUCAUUCCCUUCAUGCGAAGGGUGCUGUCGGGAGCCAGCCUCAUCUGUACCCAGCCCUGUCCAUCCGAGAUGACUCUCGAACCACACGGCUUCUAGACAGAAGUCGUAGGUGCCCACCCUUAAGGAUGGAAUAAUAGGGGGGCUCACAGGCAUGAUUGACAUAUUUUAUUUGUCUCAGGUCACACAAAAAUUGGAAUCUUGGACACAAAUUACCAAGGGAGAUCCUGAAUGUUACCGAGGAUCUAGGUUUGCAUCAACUGGGAUUGUAAUAUUUGUGGGGAUCUGGAGUCAAUAGUGUGAGACAUGGAAAUCCACAUUGCCCAAGGCAGUCUGGUGAGCUCAAGCUCGGUCCAGAGCUGUAAGAGACCAAAAAAAAAAAAAAAAA